CACGUAGGGUGCGAGCGUUGUCCGGAAUUAUUGGGCGUAAAGAGCUCGUAGGCGGUGUGUCGCGUCGGCCGUGAAAACCCUGCAGCUUAACUGUGGGCUUGCGGUCGAUACGGGCAUCACUGGAGUUCGGCAGGGGAGACUGGAAUUCCUGGUGUAGCGGUGAAAUGCGCAGGAUAUCAAGGAGGAACACCGGUGGCGAAGGCGGGGUCUC
rnacentral:rRNA from 1 species